UGAGAGGAAGGUCCCCCACAUUGGAACUGAGACACGGUCCAAACUCCUACGGGAGGCAGCAGUGAGGAAUAUUGGUCAAUGGACGAGAGUCUGAACCAGCCAAGUAGCGUGAAGGAUGAAGGUCCUACGGAUUGUAAACUUCUUUUAUAAGGGAAUAAACCCUCCCACGUGUGGGAGCUUGUAUGUACCUUAUGAAUAAGCAUCGGCUAACUCCGUGCCAGCAGCCGCGGUAAUACGGAGGAUGCGAGCGUUAUCCGGAUUUAUUGGGUUUAAAGGGAGCGCAGACGGGUCGUUAAGUCAGCUGUGAAAGUUUGGGGCUCAACCUUAAAAUUGCAGUUGAUACUGGCGUCCUUGAGUGCGGUUGAGGUGUGCGGAAUUCGUGGUGUAGCGGUGAAAUGCUUAGAUAUCACGAAGAACUCCGAUUGCGAAGGCAGCACACUAAUCCGUAACUGACGUUCAUGCUCGAAAGUGUGGGUAUCAAACAGGAUUAGAUACCCUGGUAGUCCACACGGUAAACGAUGGAUACUCGCUGUUGGCGAUAUACUGUCAGCGGCUUAGCGAAAGCGUUAAGUAUCCCACCUGGGGAGUACGCCGGCAACGGUGCAACUCAAAGGAAUUGACGG
rnacentral:rRNA from 1 species